ACAUCAUGUACCAUAGUGAUAGUUCUCUCUGUGUGUUUCAGUGCUGUUGAGUACACUGGUAUACUGUAGCCUCGGACAAGGUGGAGCCUCUCUGAGCAUCAGUCCUGACAGAUCUCAGUUUUUUAAAUUUGAGUCUGUCUCUCUGAGCUGUGAGGUUCAGGGGAACUCUACUGGAUGGAGAGUGGUGAGGAACACAGAGAGAGGAAUCCUUUCAGAGUGUAAUACUGACUGGGGAAAACAACAAGGGUCUUCAUGCAUCGUGUCACUAAUACCAUCAGACAGUGGAGUGUACUGGUGUGAGUCUGGGUCUGGAGAACACAGCAAUGCUGUCAACAUCACAGUACCUGAUGGAGCUGUGAUCCUGGAGAGACCUG